rnacentral:rRNA from 1 species
CGCCUCUUGCAAAUAAAUGAAUAAGAGGUCCCGCCUGCCCUGUGACUAUAAGUUUAACGGCCGCGGUAUUUUGACCGUGCGAAGGUAGCGCAAUCACUUGUCUUUUAAAUGAAGACCUGUAUGAAUGGCACCACGAGGGCUUAGCUGUCUCCCUCUCCCAGUCAAUGAAAUUGAUUUCCCCGUGCAGAAGCGGGGAUAAAAACAUAAGACGAGAAGACCCUAUGGAGCUUAAGACGCCAGGACAGCUCAUGUUAAACACUCCAAGAUAAAGGAAAUAAACUAAAUGAAACCCUGCCCUAGUGUCUUUGGUUGGGGCGACCACGGGGAAAAACUUAACCCCCAUGUGGAAUAGGAAUACUAUUUUCCCAGACUCAAGAGCUCCCGCUCUAAUAAACAGAACUUCUGACCAAAAGGAUCCGGCAAUGCCGAUCAACGGACCGAGUUACCCUAGGGAUAACAGCGCAAUCCUCUUAAAGAGUCCCUAUCGACAAGAGGGUUUACGACCUCGAUGUUGGAUCAGGACAUCCUAAUGGUGCAGCCGCUAUUAAGGGUUCGUUUGUUCAACGAUUAAAGUCCUA